GUUGCUGCAGAGGCAGUGGGACCUGAGACUUUCCAGCGAUGGUGGAAGAGUUGUCCUCCACCUGCCGAGUGGCUGAGCUAGGAGGAUAUUAGUCCGGAGCUGCUAGGGGUCCUGCUGUCCCCAGGGGAAGGUCUGCCUUAGAGCAAAGCCACUAUAGAGGUGAUUAAGCUGGGUUGCAGGCCCUGAUGUGCCACUACUCACAGUGAGACUGCAAAUCACAUUGUUCCAAGCCUCCGUGUACCCAUCCAAGCAAUGACUAAGGAUCCCAAGGAUGUUCCUUGUGGAAUUAAUAAAGCUCUGCUACAGAAAGUUUCCAUAAUCAAUAGGUUCCGGAAAAGUUGCACCGGCUAGCGUUUUCUUUGGAACGUUAGCAUGGCAAAGGUUUUGGAAAUCCCAGCAGCCAAGACAUAUGGGUGUUCGACCCAGCAUUUCCAGGUGUAUACGUUUGAUUCCGAAUGCAUCAAAGGUGUUAAAACAUGAGCAGAAAGAGAGAAAGAAAAAGACACCCAACGAGUAAAAUCCUGCUUUGACAUGUCAACAACUGUCACGAGGACCAAAAAUUUGACUCAACGUUGGAAAACAGCUCAUUUGGAUUCCCUCAAAGGCUGAAUAAGUGGGAAGUCAUCCAGGCUACAGCAUGAAAGCUGUAGGUUAGACAAAGAGAAGAAAUGUCCUACAAGGCAAGUCCUGGACAUGGAAUCAGCUCUUGACGGGGAGAUGUCCACCUGCGAUAAUCCAAGGACUAGAGGAACUUCCCUUGAAACAGAAGGCAGAAAAUAAAUCUAGACAUUUCCUGUUCGGACAGCAUAACGCAGAGCACAAAGAGGUGACCUAAAGAAGCCCGUUAAUAGUGACUUCCCAUUUCUGUCCCUUCCAGUUCUCUGAGGUUUCUCUGUACCAUUUCCAGAGUGACUAACCCCAGGCUGGAUGGCCAGUGCUCCCAGGGGCAACCCUUUCCUUUGAUCCUGGCUGUGCUCCACCGUGUAUGAAUUUGAACUUUCUACUGCUGGCUGACCUGUGUUUGUGUCUCCAGACAGACCUCAUACCAGCAACGGCACAGCCUCUGUCCCUCCCAGCAAAUGGCAGCUCUCAGGAGAGAUGGAGGGGGGAGCGUCAAUAAGGAGCCCACAGGUCAAGGGACGGUAAGGGCCCCGAGACUGACAUCAGAGGGAAGCUGUCCCCAGGCCUGCAGACUUAAGUACGGCCCCACGGCCAGCUAGAGAGUCACCUGAGAAGAGCAAUGGCUUCGGAAGAGAAACUCGGCCAUUGCCAACCUCUGCGCUUUGCCAAAUGGGGGUUGGGGGGACAGAAUUUUUUAAUUUUGACGAAGUCCAAUUUAUCUUUCCUUUACUGUCGGCAGUGCGUCGGGUUGGCCUGAGGAAUAUUUGCUUUUCCCAAGAUCUUUCACCCCUGUUUUCUUCUAGAUGUUUUAAAGUUUUAGACUUUACGUUCAAGUGCAUGAUUCAUUUGAAGUUAAUGUUUAUGUGGCAUCAGUCAGGGGUUGAAGUUCAUUUUCCCCCAUAUAAAUAUUCAUUGACUUCUAAGCCAUUUGUCAAAAAGGCUUUCUUUUCUUCACUGAAUUACUUGGGCACCUCUGUUGAACAUCGGUUGAAUAUAGAUGAGUGAUGUGUUUUUGGA